AACCUUAUUCCCAAAACUUUCAACCAUUCCAGAAUGUUCAUCCGAACCGUCCUCCUACUCACUAUUCACAAUUUCAACAUGUCCCUCCUCCAGCACCCCAAAGAGAUAUGGCUUUUGAGCAAAAAGUUUUGACUGCUCUUCAAGGACUCGAAGCCAAUACACAAUUGUUGCACUCCCACACCCAGUCUAUUGCCAAAUUAGAAACCCAGCUAGGGCAGCUAGCGAGUGCACUAAAUAAAAGAGAGG
rnacentral:lncRNA from 1 species